UUCUUUGAAGCGAGGUUGCAUUAUGA
rnacentral:piRNA from 1 species